UAGCUUCUGUAGCUCCUCCCUUUCCUCCUCACUUCCUGCUUGCGAUGCUGAAGUGUCCAAAUUGGUGUCGUGCUGCGUUUUCUAACAAAAAGGAACGGUUUAUUUUUGUAAUUCUUGCCGUAUAUUGUUUACUUUUUAUGUACCCUUAAGAUAUGUUUGUGUUAUUUUAACCGCAAUUUUGAGCGCUACAAGCGUUGUGUUUGAGUGACGGUGUUGGCGCGGUUUGUUUGAAGCCGUCCUCUUUCAUGUCACGUGACGACCACGCCGCCUGCGUCCUGUUGGAAGCAGGGCGGUACAAGGAGUCACAGAGAAGGAGUUUUUCUUUGUCUUAUCACCACACUUCCAACCAGCUGACGAUCCUGAAAUGACGCAAACGUUUCACUUUCAUCUUCAUGUGUCUGCAGGCCAGUACGUUACAGAGGAUGCAAGCACAGCCAUUUUUUUCCGAAUUCAACGGGGCGUUUUUCCACCUUCAAUCUUUCCAGUCGUAUGCACUAGGAGGUCCAUGGAGAGCUGAAGCAAAGUCAGUAAUCAAUAAUCCGAGGACCUUCACCCACUGACUGAGUCUCGUCAUCUGCUUCUUCAUCUUCAUUGUCUACAGAAAGUGCAUCUUCACAUGGAACUUAUGGCAGUUGUCAUGGCAGCCCAGGAAGGCGGGAAGGCUUGAACGCACUUCUAGUGAUUGCACACACCUGUCCCUUGCUGGUUCUUUCCUUCAUUCCCUCCAUGAAUCCCGACCACGCCAACCUUCUUCCUGCCAAGUCUCGAGCAAGUAUUUUCUCUUUGCUGUUUCUUCGGAUACUUUGUUUUUGUGCUCAGUCUUUUUACCCGCCUUCCUACGAAAUAUGUGUCGGGUCACCUGUGCGUCAUCCCGGGGGUAUUUUUUUGAUAUUUUUCCCAUGUUUGCUCUCCCUGGGAGAUCACAUGGGUCCAAACUGUGAACCGGAAAUCGAGAAAACAGUUUUUCCAUUGUUUUAAUUCCCAAUUUUGAUUUUCAAACAUCGAUGAAAAUCGAUGACAGAAAACGCAUAACAAUCUGUUUGAAUUUUUCAUUAUAAAACAAAAAUGGGGAAAAAAUAAUUGAUAAUUUUUCUAUUUUAAAACAAAACGGAUGGCCAUGAAGUACACAACUACUUUUUCCACUCUUGUUUUUCCAUUCUCUUCUUGGUCCGUGUACCUUUCGUUCGUUCGUUUUGUCAAUAUAAAACUAACGCUAAGAAAACAAGUCAUUUUUUUUAAUAUACAGUUUAUUUUUCCAAUUUUGUACACAAUUGGAAAACGGACAUAACGGAUAGAGGGCAUUUAAACUCGUUUUUGCAAAUUUGAGGCAUCAAAUUUACCUGGAAGUAGAAAUCCGUAGACUUGGGCUUGCAGGUAAACAAACAGACGAAGACAGGACUGAUGGAGUUUUAAAUAAAGUUAAUGUCUUUAUUUUAACCUAGCCAAACAUGUCAGUGGUAUGAAAAUAUACAUUUUUUAAAUAUGUUUAUGAUAAUUGCAAUAUUAGAAAUUGCGCUGCCAUUUCCUUAUAAAGAUAUGCAAAUAAACAUCUUUUACCGGCCCGGUUCAGAGUGGUUUUAAUUUCCUUUUUUCAAAUAUUUAACAUUUGUCACUCAGUGAUUCUAAAUUCACUAAUUAUAUGGUGCAACUGAUUGGUAACACUCAAAUUGGCCUGAGGUAGUCUUGGAAAUUUGAAGAAUAUUUCCUUAUCCAUUUUCUAAAUGUUGGGUUUGUAAACAAAUAUUGGGGGAAAAAACAUGUUUGUAAGGCUUUUAUUUUCAAUUUUUUUGGUUUUAUUUGAAAAAUGGAAUGAAUGGAACACACAGACCCUCCUUUUUAUACUUUUUUUUAUUUUUUUUAUACUGUUCUUCUACUUUCUCCUUUUUCUUGUGUUGUUUUUCCAAUUUAUUUGAGAACAUGUCUGCAGAGAAAAAAAGACCGCGUUCAAAGUCAAGCAGCGAACUGUCAAGUAUACAUUUUUUUACUCCUUUGGGAAGACACGGUAACUUUGAUCAAUGACUUCCUGCAUUGUUGAUGUUUUAUCUGCGUGUGCAGCCUGAGACGGAGCUGAGAAUUGAGAUGGAGAUUGUUCAGGCAUCAAUAAAGCAGCUAAGA